rnacentral:lncRNA from 1 species
UAAAAAUCUGUCUGUAAAAUGUCUUAGAAAAUCUGGCACUUCGUCCUUUGUACAUUGAAGGAUGUAGGACAUGUGUUGGUAUGGAAACUGCAUUGGACAUUGAUGAGGCUUAGAGACAUCCCCACAUUGCCUUUGCAAAAAGCAGGAAUGAAUUAUGCGGGCCCAGUAUAACCCCAUCCUUCCCGUCAUCCUUCCCUCCCUCCCCCUUGAUUUCUUUCUUUUUCACAAUUGUGACCCACUAAGUAACAUAGAAAUAUUUUUUUUAGUUGAGACAAAUUUAGCUUUUCCAUGGCAUCACAAAUGUAUAAAGUGUUCACCAUAAAGGCAUGAACUCACAGAACAUGUAGAAAGAAGUUCAUUUGCCACUUGUCACAACAAAUGUUAUGCAAAUCUAAUCUUAAGAAUUAAAAUCUGCCGGGCGGUGGUGGCGCACACCUUUAGUCCCAGCACUUGAGAUGCAGAGGCAGGCGGAUUUCUGAGUUCGAGGCCAGCCUGGUCUGCAGAGUGAGUUCCAGGACAACCAGGGCUACACAGAGAAACCCUGUAUUGAAAACAAAACCAAAAAAAAAAAAAAAAAAAAAAAAAAAAAGAAUUAAAAUCUAUCAAAACUUCUGCACAUAGACACUUGCAAACUGUUUGUGGUGCCCCUUGAAGGAGCAAAAAGGAUAAAUAAAUGUAGGGCUGUAGUAUGCAACCUUAAAGUUAAGUGUGGCAAAUUCCUCAGCACUGUGAUAAUUAUCACACCGAGUUCCCCAUACCACCGCAAGGAGUCUAAAACUAUACAUAGAUGUUGGGAUAAGGGGGAUGGGCACGCCACCCUGAAUUGUUCAAGAGUCAGAAAUGCAUCCCACAUCUGACCAUUGCUUAAUGCUUACUAAGGAUUUGACUCUAUUACCAGGGGUUGAAAAGGAGAUAAUAAAAUAUAUUUAAACAUCUAAAUGUGAUUUUAAUUGAUGAAAAAAUUGAAACUGCCAUUUCCAAUAACUGCUACUAUUAUUAUUAUUUUUUAAAUGUUGAGGAAGGCAGGGAGUUAGGACCUAGGAAAAGAGGCAGAUUCUCAAGGAGGCAGGUAAGAACUUCUAACUGUUCAUUUUCCCCUACGUGCUGGAAAAUUCCCUAAUCUGUUUGUAACCUUUUCCGAGUGCUUUGAUUCCUAUGAGUGAUCAAACAUCGGACAGCCCUGCACAGCUCACAGCUGAUCCGAGGCCAUGACUUACACUGACAAGAGUAAAUGCUGUUAACUAUGUCCUAUCUAAAACACAUCCAAGUGUCAGGCUACACACCAGUCUUAAAUGCCUACAGAGCCAAAGCCAGCAGUGCCAGCAGGUGACUUACUGUUUCCUCCUCUGUUGGUCCAAGAAUUAGGAGAAUGGUUUCACCCCAGC